rnacentral:rRNA from 1 species
AUUGAACGCUGGCGGCAUGCCUUACACAUGCAAGUCGAACGGCAGCACGGACUUCGGUCUGGUGGCGAGUGGCGAACGGGUGAGUAAUGUAUCGGAACGUACCUUUCAGUGGGGGAUAACGUAGCGAAAGUUACGCUAAUACCGCAUAUUCUGUGAGCAGGAAAGCAGGGGAUCGCAAGACCUUGCGCUGAUUGAGCGGCCGAUAUCAGAUUAGCUAGUUGGUGAGGUAAAGGCUCACCAAGGCGACGAUCUGUAGCGGGUCUGAGAGGAUGAUCCGCCACACUGGAACUGAGACACGGUCCAGACUCCUACGGGAGGCAGCAGUGGGGAAUUUUGGACAAUGGGGCAACCCUGAUCCAGCCAUGCCGCGUGAGUGAAGAAGGCCU